rnacentral:lncRNA from 1 species
UUAUGUGUGUGUUUGGUCGUGAUUUACAGGAGCCAAGAAAGGGGCUCUUACAAAGCCCUAAAACUCACAAGAAAUCCAACAAAAAUCGAAGAUAGAACAAGCUAAAAAUUGGGGCUUUUAAUAAAUUUGGGAUCACCCAAGCUAGAAGAUUGCAAGUUUGACUCUGACAAGCUAGGUAGGAGCUUGGAAAUGAACGGGUCAAAUGGAUACAAGUUCAAGUAUGAAGCUCGCAAGGAUGCAAGGUAAGUAUAACUUACACUAGUCAUAUAUUUUAGAAUGUUCUUUUGUCGUAUUGACUACGAAUAAGACAAAUGGUAAUUUAGUCACACGUUGACAAUAAUCGUUAGUUUUAAAAGACGCUUUCCCGCGUAAGACAUAAAGAGCCGAAAGUGGUAAUAAACGGUUUAUAAAUAAAAUGAGCAUACGGUGUUAAAAGGAGCGAGUCAUGUAGAUGAGAUGAUAAUAAAUAUUAUCUCGCAAAGGUAAACGGUCAAUUCGGCCAAACGGGUCAAAAGGUGUAGACAUCACCUUUUGACAAUAUCGACUAAUGAUUCUGGUGUCGAGUUAUAUGUUUACAGGAGUAGAUAUCCAAUGGAUACUCGCAUCGCUCUUAAUUAGCAAUUAUAAAGCAAGGUAUUAAACCGGGUACAUUUUGGAUGCCGGAAGACGAUCAAGCUCAUUGGAGAACCGAACACGAUAAAGAUACAUGCUUCCGCACAGUGUCCCGUCGUAAAUUUUAAACGACGAAUUCAAUUACGUUAUGUCGAAUAACUUAUGAUUUGUAAAAGUUUUAAUAAACCCAUAUUUUUAUAGUAUGUGUAGUCUUAUCUACACAACUAAUUGUUGGUAAUUAUAUGUAAAACCGUUAAAUAGUAAUUAGGGUGUUACAAGUUGGUAUCAGAGCUCAUGGUUAAAGAGUAAAGUGUGUUCGGUUCGAGGCUUGAUCGCAAAUCCGGUAAGUACAUGUAUAUUAAUGGUUUAGUAUGAUUAAAGUGUUGUGAACAACACAUAGGGUUAUCGUGUAAUACACGUUACUCCAAUUAAAUGAUUGAUAUAGUUAACGAAAUUAUGUGCGUUGACACGUAUAGUAAAAAGUCUCGUAUUAAAUACAGGCGAUUAUUGAUGUAGACAUUACUAAUCUUUGUAAAUGUUUUAGUUGAAGGACACUCGCAUCUGAAGAUGGUUAGAGUUUAACAAAUUUCGAAUAUGACAGAGGAACAGUCCGAAGUAUGACAAGUAGAGCAUGCUCACCAAGGACCCAAAUCGCGUAACGAUAGCAAGUAAGGAUAAUUGGCAAGGAAAGCCCGUUAGGGCAAGCAUUACCAGUUUGACUCUGACAAGCUAGGUAGGAGCUUGGAAAUGAACGGGUCAAAUGGAUACAAGUUCAAGUAUGAAGCUCGCAAGGAUGCAAGAUAUCCAAUGGAUACUCGCAUCGCUCUUAAUUAGCAAUUAUAAAGCAAGGUAUUAAACCGGGUUAGUAAGUUGAUCCGAGCCAGGUACAUUUUGAAUGCCGGAAGACGAUUAAGCUCAUUGGAGAACCGAAUACGAUAAAGAUACAUGCUUCCGCACAGUGUCCCGUCGUAAAUUUUAAACGACGAAUUCAAUUACGUUAUGUCGAAUAACUUAUGAUUUGUAAAAGUUUUAAUAAACCCAUAUUUUUAUAGUAUGUGUAGUCUUAUCUACACAACUAAUUGUUGGUAAUUAUAUGUAAAACCGUUAAAUAGUAAUUAGGGUGUUACAGUUU